rnacentral:lncRNA from 1 species
UGGAGACCAUUGCAGAAUUAAGCCCUUUAUCCGCAAUGGCUUUAACAAUCGCUUGUACAUCCUUAGGGUUUGUUGGUGAGUGAACCCUCUGCCCCCCGUCUGUCACCCAGACCAGCAACGCUAGCAUGGCCGAUAGAGCCCAGACAGCACACGCAAUCUUAAUUUUCCUUCAAUCCAUGAGAGGAAUUUCUCUGCCUCGCGGUGCAGCUUUAUUUAGGAUGGGGAUAUUUUUGCUAUCUGUCCCCAUUUCCUCCUCCGAAUGUGAAUUGGUAUCUGAUCCGGAGUCGGAGCUUGACUGACUGCUCACCUCCACGUUCCGGUACCCUCCCAUCGAGUUCCGGCCCCGCCCACCACCCCUGCGGGCGGGCUGCUCUCUGCCUCGUGGCUCGCCCCGCCGCCUGCUCAGCGAGGCGUUUGUGCCACAGGAGCGUGUUUUCGGAUGGCCGUUCCGAUCGGCUCUCUGCCCCUCUCUCACGCUUCUACCUCCUCCCCGGUCGUCCCCGCAACCGUUCUCUUUCUCGCAUUUCCACGUGUUAGUAAAACCUAACGCUUCAUCCCCGUUCCCGCAGGAGGCUUCUUCACCCAACUCUUCGUCUUCUAGUUCAGCACCGUACUGGGGCGCACAUGGCCGUGGUCUCUCCCAGAUUUCCCCAGGCUCUGGUUCCCCACUGGCACCCCUGGCUUCCUCAGCCGAGCCACCCCAUAGCUUCCACAACUUUGAUACGACCUUCACAAGGGUUUCCAUCUUCCUUGUUGGUCCGGGAGCUUCCUCCCCGCCGGGCUGGUCCCGCCGCUCCGGCCGCUGUUCACCCGAAUCCAGGAGUUUUCCCGGGUUUCGGCACCACUUGUUGCCUUCAGGGGGCAGUGGCGACCUGGUUCAGGAACGGCACGGCGACCAACCCCAGGCCGUUCGGUCCAUCGGCUCACAGACACCAAUGUGGUGGAUGGCAAAUGGCAUUUAUUGUCGAGUCACGUGGUGUUAUAUAGCCGAGGCCCAUAGCGUCACUUCCGCUUGCUUACAUCACAGGCCACAUGCUACUGUCCAUCAAGGGAGGGGCUCCACCUUUCCGUACAGCGCGACAUCUACCAGCCGCCAGACACUAACUACCCACAGGGUUGAGAUAUGG